CGGNCCGCGGNUAUCUUGNACCGNUGNCGAAGGCUAGNCAUAAUCAUUUGNUCUCCUAAAUAGAGACUGGNUAUGAAUGGCAAGACGGAACUAUACUGNUCUCCUUUUCUCCCCUUUAAAUUUCACUACCCCGNUGAAGAGGCGGGGAAACAAUCGUUAGACGAGAAGACCCUGUUCGAGCNUUUAACAAAGUUUAUGGNUUUUAAUUAAAAUUUUUACUUUCCUAAUUACUUUAUUUAGAAAAUACAAACCUACAAAACCCUGUUCUAGGUUUUGGGUUGGGGCAACCAUAGAGAAAGUAAAUCCUCUAUUAUUAAUGGUUUAUAGCUUAAACAAAGAGUCAUAACUCUAAAAUUAUUAUUAAUGAAAAUAUGAUCCACUAUAGUGAUCAAAAGAAAAGUUACCGCAGGGCAUAACAGCGUCAUCUUUUUUGAGAGUUCAUAUUGACGAAAAGGUUUGCGACCUCGAUGUUGGAUCGGGACAUCCUAAAGGNGCAGAAGCUUUUAAGGGUUGGUCUGUUCGACCAUUAAAGUCCU
rnacentral:rRNA from 1 species